rnacentral:lncRNA from 1 species
CAUCAGGAGUUGCCCAUUCACUGCAGCACAGCUCUCAGCGAUCACAAUGAACAGCUGGAAUGGCAUGGGCAAGCGACUGAGCUGUUGCUGCCGGCGUGCAAGCUCUCCUGUGCUGCAUGCUCAUGUUCAUCUAUCUCUCACUUCGCUGUCAACGUGUAUUUUGUGGAUCACACUGCCUUUUCUCAUUGUAAAAGACGAGACAUGCGAGCUCAAAUUCUAUGAGUCGAUGCAGAGUGAUGAGCAAGGGCAAGACAAGUUUCAAGAUGUCUUUUUGGUAGGCAUGAACGGCACUAAGAAUACCUAACUUAGUAGAGAUAAGCAAAAGAUAACGAUCGUGUACUUGUGUUGUUAGUUUGGUCAGGUCUUUAUCACCACCACUGAUGAUGAU